UAAUGAUAGCUAUUUAGAAUUAUAGUAAAGUAUUUAUCGGUACAAGAUGAGCAUGCGUACCAUUAGCUAGUUGGUGUGGUAACGGCACACCAAGGCAACGAUGGGUUACGGGGCCCUGAGAGGGGGAUCCCCCACACUGGUACUGAGACACGGACCAGACUCCUACGGGAGGCAGCAGUGAGGAAUAUUGGACAAUGGGCGAGAGCCUGAUCCAGCCAUGCCGCGUGCAGGAAGACUGCCCUAUGGGUUGUAAACUGCUUUUUACGGGAAGAAACACCUCUACGUGUAGAGGCUUGACGGUACCGUACGAAUAAGGAUCGGCUAACUCCGUG
rnacentral:rRNA from 1 species